UACGUAGGGGGCAAGCGUUGUCCGGAUUUAUUGGGCGUAAAGAGCGUGUAGGCGGCCGUACAGGUCAGCUGUGAAAACUCGAGGCUCAACCUCGAGACGUCGGUUGAAACCGUACGGCUAGAGUCCGGAAGAGGAGAGUGGAAUUCCCGGUGUAGCGGUGAAAUGCGCAGAUAUCGGGAAGAACACCCGUGGCGAAGGCGGUUCUCUGGGACGGUACUGACGCUGAGACGCGAAAGCGUGGGGAGCGAACAGG
rnacentral:rRNA from 1 species